rnacentral:rRNA from 1 species
GAUGAACGCUGGCGGCGUGCCUAAUACAUGCAAGUCGAGCGAACGGACGAGAAGCUUGCUUCUCUGAUGUUAGCGGCGGACGGGUGAGUAACACGUGGAUAACCUACCUAUAAGACUGGGAUAACUUCGGGAAACCGGAGCUAAUAACGGAUAAUAUUUUAAAGCGCAUGGUUCAAAAGUGAAAGACGGCCUUGCUGUCACUUAUAGAUGGAUCCGCGCUGCAUUAGCUAGUUGGUAAGGUAACGGCUUACCAAGGCAACGAUGCAUAGCCGACCUGAGAGAGUGAUCGGCCACACUGGAACUGAGACACGGUCCAGACUCCUACGGGAGGCAGCAGUAGGGAAUCUUCCACAAUGGGCGAAAGCCUGACGGAGCAACGCCGCGUGAGUGAUGAAGGUCUUCGGAUCGUAAAACUCUGUUAUUAGGGAAGAACAUAUGUGUAAGUAACUGUGCACAUCUUGACGGUACCUAAUCAGAAAGCCACGGCUAACUACGUG